GUGAAAAUGUCCCAACAAGAAGAGGAAGCAUCAUGGAGAGGCUAGCAGGCACUGUGCUGGGGCUUUUGUUUGCCCAGGUUUGCUGUGUGCGAGGGGUGGAUGUGGAGCAGAGUCCCCCAGCUCUGAGUCUCCAGGAGGGAGCCAGCUACACGCUUCGGUGUAAUUUUUCCACUUUCCCACAGAGUGUGAACUGGUAUCUUCAGAACCCUGGGGGCCGCAUCAUCCACCUGUUUUACAUUCCUUCAGGGACAAAGCAGGAUGGAAGAUUAAAUGCCACCACAGUUCCUAAAGAUGGCCACAGCUCACUGCACAUUUCCUCUUCACAGACCACAGACUCAGGCACUUACUUCUGUGCUGUGCAGCACAGUGCUCCCUAG